GCACUGGUGGUUUAGUGGUAAAAUCCAUCGUUGCCAUCGAUGGGCCCCGCGUUCGAUUCGCGGUCAGUGCA